UGGGGAAUAUUGGACAAUGGGGGAAACCCUGAUCCAGCGACGCCGCGUGAGUGAAGAAGUAUUUCGGUAUGUAAAGCUCUAUCAGUAGGGAAGAAAAUGACGGUACCUAACUAAGAAGCCCCGGCUAACUACGUGCCAGCAGCCGCGGUAAUACGUAGGGGGCAAGCGUUAUCCGGAUUUACUGGGUGUAAAGGGAGCGUAGACGGUAUGGUAAGUCAGAUGUGAAAGGCGGGGGCUCAACCCCCGGACUGCAUUUGAAACUAUCAAACUAGAGUGUCGGAGAGGUAAGUGGAAUUCCUAGUGUAGCGGUGAAAUGCGUAGAUAUUAGGAGGAACACCAGUGGCGAAGGCGGCUUACUGGACGAUCACUGACGUUGAGGCUCGAAAGCGUGGGGAGCAAACAGG
rnacentral:rRNA from 1 species